CGGCAGCUCCUCGCUCUCCCCCGAUCCCCGCCGUCACCGUCACCGAGUUCCACAUCUCUGGCCUCAGCCUCGUCGUCAACCCCAGGCCCUUCCCCCGCGGUCGCAUCUCCUUCUUCUACUGCUCCAGCUUCCGUGACUCCACCGCCGUCCGCUCCUUAGCUAAAGAGGAAGGACUGAACGACCAUUGCUUGGAGAUAGUGGAGAUUGCUGCUCUUCUUCAUGACAUUGGAGACUACAAGUAUACCAAAGACUUGGUUGAGGAUAUAUCAAAUCCUGAAGAAGUUUCUCAAGAAAGAGGGAUUGAAAGAUAACAAACCAGAGAAAAUAUUGAGCAUCAUAAAAGGAAUGGUUUGCUGCUUAAGGUCCUCCUUGUAUUAGAGGACAAGGACGUCAUCGAUUUCACCCCUUCAGGUUAGAGGCUCCCGUAGGGAGCAGUAGUACGAUACGACGUUCUAAUGCAGGCGAUGCUGAUAACAAGGAUGCCGACAACAACGAUGACGAGGAGUGAGUGAGACUUGUGUUAAGACAAAUUAUGACUUUUGAAUUUUACUUAUAUGUAAUAUAUUUGUGUUUUUUAUUGCGUAGUGGAUGAAUAUUAUUUGAGCAUGCGAGAUAUAUUGUGAUUGUGAUUAGAUGAUGAGUAUUGUUCGAUAAUAUGGAUUGACAGAUGAAAUUGGAUGAGUAUUUAUUUUGAAUGUGAA